AGGUGCGGAACAUCUGCUCGAUGUAAGCGUUGGCCCCCGUGUCGAGGCCGCGCAGGCCGAAGAACUGCUUGAACUCGUGCAGGGUCAUCCACCGUGCUGCCUGUCGCAUUGCCCAUGACCACCGCCUGUUGUUUGCCCGACGGGUCUACUGUGAACGGCACCUCACAGUCACACAAAGAGCGGGCGAAGAAGGGCAGAAGCCGCUGCGAUGCCUUUUGUAGGCCACUUUGUGAUGCCCUUCUCGCUUCCUAAUCCCCGCAGGUAAUCUAAUCUAACGCGUUAAGAAGCCCCAUUAAAACGGAUGCCGCCUUGCCAGGUACGCUGACACGACAAAACGGCACGUUCAUCUGUCACGUGGAGGCGCGCGGCCCCUCGGUGCGGGCGUAAAAUCGAGACCCCCCCACCCCCACAGUGUGACAGUGCCAUCAUUCUUUUAAUGCAAUACUUGUGUCGUGACGUUGAACACAAAGAAACGAAAAUUCUGUUUGAAUGGAAAAUUGGUGGGGGGCGGCUAAUGUUUAUCAUAGGGCUGACCAAUUAAUUAAAUCAAAAUUCAUGUUGCUAAAAAAAAAAAACCCCAAAAAAAACAUGGUAAGAGGACUAAGAAAAAGUAAUCGAAUUGCAAUCACCCUGUUGAGGAAAGAAAAUUGCAAUUAAAUCAUUUUUC